AUCCUACCACUCCCCGUCAUGGGGAUCAGAGUCAAACUCGUAUCUUCUUUCUUUGAGAAACAAACAAUGGCGGCCGGCGAUAUUUGUGCAUGUGGCUGCGCUACGUGACAACUAAUCAUAAAUUAUCUCCUUGGCGUCAACAAUGGCGGGUCACCCGAAAGGGACCUUGCCCGAAUGGUCCAAGCCGCGGACAGUUUCCACUUGCCACUCGCUCACUCUCUUGUUGACUCCCUGCUCACCGGAGACCGAGGAGCUCACUCGCUGGCAAAUGAAGAUAGGACGGCAACCUGCAGCCAAGUCAGGGGCGGCGGGUAGGGAGGGGAGCUAGAGCUAGAGACGGUCGAUGGCCGUGUCACGCUCCGGCGCGGCGGGCGUGGCCGCCGGCGGCGACACGACCGACGACGCCGACCGAGCGCGGCUGCACCAGCUCGGCUACAAGCAGGAGCUCAAGCGCGGCCUCUCGUACGCUGCUCUGCUUCACCAUCGUAUCAUCGGCGUUUGUGCGCAGCUCUAUCGUUGGAUUGAUUCUGGUGCUUUUCUUGGGCUCUGCGCAGCCUCAUGUCCAACUUCGCCUUCUCCUUCUCCAUCAUCUCCGUCAUGGCCGGCGUCACCACGACCUACAACGGCGGGCUGCGCUACGGCGGGCCGGCGUCCAUGACGCUCGGGUGGCUGGUGGUGGCGGCCUUCAACGGCUGCGUCGCGCUGUCCAUGGCGGAGAUCUGCUCCGCCUACCCGACCUCCGGCGGGCUCUACUACUGGAGCGCCAAGCUCGCCGGCAAGGAGUGGGCGCCCCUCGCCUCCUGGGUCACCGGCUGGUUCAACAUCGUCGGACAGUGGGCUGCUACCACGAGCACGGACUUCUCCCUGGCGCAGCUGGUCCAGGUGAUCAUCUUGCUCGGCACCGGCGGGGCCACCGGCGGCGGGUACACGGCCUCCAAGUACGUCGUGCUGGCCAUCCACGGCUUCUUCCUCGUCCUGCACGGCCUCAUCAACAGCCUCCCCAUCCGCUGGCUGUCCUGGUGCGGCAAGCUCGGCGCGUUCUGGAACACGGCGGGCGCGUUCACGCUGGUGAUCCUCAUCCCGGCGGUGGCCAAGGAGCGGGCGAGCGCCAAGUUCAUCUUCACGCACUUCAACGACGACAACGGCAUGGGGAUCCACGGCAAGGCCUACAUUCUCGCCCUCGGCCUCCUCACCAGCCAGUACUCUCUGCUCGGCUACGACGCCUCCGCUCACAUGAUUGAAGAGACGAAGAACGCGGACUGGAGCGGGCCGAUGGGGAUCAUCAGCUCGGUGGCCCUGUCGACCACGUUCGGGUGGAUCUUCCUGGUGGCGCUGACGUCGAUCGUGACGGACAUCCCGUACCUGCUCAGCCCGGACAACGACGCCGGGGGCUACGCCGUCGCCCAGGCCCUGUACGCCGCCUUCGACAGGAGGUACGGCAGCGGCGUGGGAGGGCUGGUCUGCGUCGGGGUAGUCGCCGUCGGCAUCUUCUUCGCCGGCGCCAUGUGCAUCGCCAGCAACUCGAGGAUGGGGUACGCCUUCUCGAGGGACAGGGCGAUGCCGCUCUCGCGCGUGUGGCUCCGCGUCAGCAAGAACGAGGUGCCCCUCAACGUCGUCUGGCUCUCCGUCGUCGUCGCCUUCGUCAUGGCCCUCACGUCGCUGGGGAGUCAGGUGGCGUUCCAGGCGAUGGUGUCGAUCGCGACGCUGGGGCAGUACAUCGCCUACGCGCUGCCCAUCUUCUUCCGGGUGACGACGGCGAGGAGGUCGUUCGUGCCGGGGCCGUUCCACCUCGGGAGAUACGGGGUCGCCGUCGGCUGGGCCGCCGUCCUCUGGGUGGCGUUCCUCACCGUGCUCUUCUCGUUGCCGGUGGCGUACCCGGUGGCCAAGGACAACUUCAACUACACGCCGGUGGCCGUCGGCGGCGUGCUGCUGCUCAGCGUCGGCGCAUGGGUGGUCAACGCCAGGUUCUGGUUCCAGGGGCCCAUCACCAAUGUCGACUUGUAGCUAGGGACCAAACAAGUCACGUGUAUCAUAGCUUCUCGUUUGGAACUUUGGAUUGUACAGUGUAUCUGUGGGUGUCGCUUCUCGUUUGAAACUUCGUUUCUUGUUUGAUACUCCACGUACUGCCAAAUCCACAAACGUAACCAAGAGGUCUGGGAAAAAAUCUACAAAAAAAAUGAUGAGAUGGGUACAACAUGUGUAAAUUAUAUCACCAAAUAUGAAAGACAUAGCUAUGAAUAGUAAUUAGUUCAAAGUGGGCCGCAAAAAAGUAAUUAGUUCAAAU
rnacentral:rRNA from 1 species